CGCUGUGGGGCUCAGGAUGUGUGUUUUUUCUCUGUGUGUGUUUGCUGCAGUGGGUUAUGUGGGCAAGCACAUCGGUUUUCUGACUGGAAAUAGUUUUCUUUUGGUUAAACUGAUUCCUGCAGCUGGAGGCGAGCCUUGUAGAGCAGAGCCAUUAUCCCAUUGAACAAAGAUCCACAGAACACAGACGAACAGAGCCUCUGAUUCAGAGAGUUUAUGCAGAGUGUUGAUUUGACGUUAUCUCUUAGACUUUUUGUGAACUAAAUAAACCUUUAAAGAUGAUAUGAUAGAUUUGUAAUGCGAGGCGAAUUAUCGUUGAUUACCUCUGCCAAGGAGGUUAUGUUUUCGGUAGCGUUGGUUUGUUUGUUUGUGAGUUUGUUUGUCUGUUGGCAACUUUACGGAGAAAGUUACAGACGGAUUGACCUGAAAUUUUCACCAGAGGUGCGUCUCAGCCCCAGGAGGAUCCCAUAAAAUUUUGGUGGUGAUCCAGACAAAAUUCUGGAUAUUGUGAUCCAGAACACAUAAAAAUAAGGGUGUCAUUGGAAUUUUCAAUGCUGAAAGAUAACAAAUGGGCGGCACAGUGGUGUAGACAGGCGGUACAGUGGUGUAGUGGUUAGCACUGUCGCCUCACAACCAGAAGGUCCUCGGUUCGAAUCCGGGUCAGGGCAUGUCUUUUUUUAGGAACAUUAUGAACAGUGAACAUACCAGUUUAAACACAAACUAGAAAAGCACUUGGAGAGCGCAGACCUCCGCCAAGUAGCUCAUGUCCCCCCUUAAACAAGAAAUGCCCUCACCGGGAUUUGAACCCAAGACCUGGUUGUGAGGCGACAGUGCUAACCACUACACCACUGUACCGCCUGUCUACACCACUGUGCCGCCCAUUGGUUAUCUUUCAGCAUUGAAAAUUCCAACGACAUCCUUAUUUUUGUGUGUUCUGGAUCACAGUAUCCAGAAUUUCAGGUCAAUCUGUCUGUUACUUUCUCUGCAAACAAACAAACAAACCAACGCUACCGAAAACAUAACCUCCUUGGCGGAGGUAAUAAAAGACACGUAACAGUAAAAGUCUUGGUGUGAAUCACAAUAUAAGGGGGGACAUGAGCUGCUUGGCGGAGGUCUGCGCUCUCCGAGUGCUUUUCUAGUUAUAUCUGUGUUUGACCAAGAUGUUUACAGCCGGUUAUAAAGACGUGGUUUUAAGCUAUUUAUCGAAAACAAGAAAAACUCGUGGAGCAAACAAAUUUAUACAGAAAAGAACAAAAUGUUUGGAGUUAUGUACGUCUCUAUCUGCUGUAUUACAUCACAGUACGGAUGUGUGAAGUCAACAUGUUGUCGUCCCAAACAUCCCGUAGCUAAUGUGGGCGGAGUCAGGAGUCGGAGUCGCUUUGGUAGCUUAAUACCAUUAAAAUCGGCACAAAGCAGUCCGCCUCUCUGUCUCUCUGAAGUCAUCAUUAAGGCCAAACUUGAGAAGAAAUCUCAUUUGGAUUCAGCGCCAACACCGAGCUUCACCAGCCAUCGUGUCGGCCUGGAUUUGUUUACUCGCCAUUCAUGUGGGAAAUUUAAAUGAGCUGGACGCCGAACCCGAAUCCAGCACAAACUGGGACUUGAAAGUCUGCACACUCUUAUAUUUCUUUACACAUGCAUUCAAAUGAGCCGCAUGUAUGUGUUCAGGGAGUGUUUACAGGCCUGCAGAGCAUCUUUAAAUGUUUUUGUCUUCUUCUGGGAAACUUAAUGUUCUGUUUCUGCCGCUCAGACGGAGAACAUGGCUGAAAUCUACAAUUACACCUGUCCACAGCCGCUAACACAAUGUUCUCCCUCGCUGCGGACGUCACAGCCCCCUAACUAGAGCAUUAAAAGCCUCUAUCUGGAUGAGGAGAGGAAAUUAAAUGUGCACAUCGCUCCUGUUUACUUAUUAGUCUUACGCAGUGAAGAACAAACAAGCAGAAAGUGGAGAGGCGAGGGAUGAUUGAGGGGUACGACACUUUUCUGUAUCAGCCCAUGCAUGCACGCUCUCUGCU
rnacentral:lncRNA from 1 species